GAGAAGUGGAACUCUGUUCCACCUGCUUCUGCAGGCAAGAGGAAAACAGAGCCAUCUGCUUGGACUCAAGACACUGCUGAUGUUAAUGCCAAUGGGAAAGACUGGGGAAGGAGCUGGAGUGAUCAUUCAAUAUUUUCUGGCACUGAUGGUUUGUCUUCUGCUGAUCCCAGCUCAGACUGGAAUGCACCAGCAGAGGAGUGGGGGAACUGGGUAGAUGAACAAAGAGCUUCACUUCUGAAGUCCCAGGAACCAAUCCUCAAUGAUCAAAGGAUUUCAGAUGAUGAUAAAGAAAAAGGAGAGGAAGCUCUUCCAACUGG